CAAUUUGUCUAUAAUAUAGCAAGAAAUUGAUACACCUUUGUUGAACUGAGCAAAAUGAAAGCACUAUAUUUACCAUGAAGUCUUUGGAAACAGGUUUACAAGGAAUCAAACAACUUAUGGAGCCAAUAACAGCCCCAUGGAAAAACUGGCCUUAUACCUUGUCUACAGUCCCUGUAACAGGGUUCAUAACCUGUGGUAAGUAAAAUAAUGUCACUUUCUAAUAGGCCCAUGAGCCCCAAGUUUAUCCUGAAACCUCAAGAGAAGAGGAAUUCACCCAACUCAUAGGUAUUUAAUGGUACAAAUCCAUGGCUGGGCACAGCUUUAAAAAAGUCUCACCUGGGCCAGACGCAGUGGCUCACGCCUGUAAUCCCAGCACUUUGGGAGGCUAAAACAGGUGGAUCACCUGAGGUUAGGAGUUCAAGACUAGCCUGGCAAACAUGGUGAAACCCUGUCUCUACCAAACAAUACAAAAAUAAGCCAGGCAUGGUGGUGGGUGCCUGUAAUCUCAGCUACUUGGGAGGCUAAGGCAGGAAGGAGAAUUGCUUGAAUCCAGGAGGCAGAGGUUGCAGUAAGUGGAGCUCGCACCAUUGCACUCCAGCCUGGGCGACAAGAACGAAACUCUAUCUCAAAAAAAAAAAAAAAAAAAAAAAAAGUCUUACCUGAAAUUUCUGCUAUGAAACAAAGUUCCAUCAAAGCCAAUUUAAAAGCCUACAUAAAAAAAAUAAUUAUUUGGGCCAGGCGUGGUGGUUCACACCUGUAAUCCCAGCUCUCUGGGACGCCGAGGCAGGCGGAUCACCUGAGGUCGGGAGUUCGAGACCAGCCUGACCAACAUGGAGAAACCCCAUCUCCACUAAAAAUACAAAAUUAGCCAGGCGUGGUGGCACAUGCCUAUAAUCCCAGCUACUCAGGAGGCUGGGGCUGGGAAUUGCUUGAAUCCGGAGGCAGAGGUUGCAAUGAGCUGAGAUCACACCAUUGCACUCCAGCCUGGGCAACAAGAGCAAAACUCCAUUUCAAAAAAAAAAUUAUUCUUGCUGCACUAUAUACAAAUAAUGAGGUCAAGUAUAAUAAAACAAAUCAGUCCUACCAUGAUUUGUCUUUAAUAAACACGGGAAACUGGAGAAAAAAAAAUUUCAAAAACUAUAGGACACCUGAUGUUAGAUUCUAGUCUUGCCUAAUGUUUUUCAAUUUUUAUUAUUUUCUAAGGUUUGGACCAAAUUCUAAUUUUUCUUGACUACAAAUCUGCAAACUAAUGUUUUCAAUUUGUUUUCCUUAUUUUUUCCCCAUAUUUCCUAAUUUGGAGUCACUGAAAACUAAGCUGUGCUUUCGUGAAGCCCUGCAAACUAAAGCUAAACAACUUAAACUUCAGAAAAUGUAACAGCAAUCUAUUUACAUACAUAAGCCACAUUCAUACAUGCCUACUGAUGGAUGGACUUCAAAGUACUGUGGCCUACGUCAAUUAUCCAGGAUUGUUCCUUUGUUUGUGGUUGUUUUUCUCCCUUCCUCCCCCUAUUUUCUCUUCAUAAACAUAAGUCUUCAACACCUGCAAAAAAUGAGCUUUCCUAAUAACUUGGGACCUACCUGUCUAGGAAUAAAGCAUCCUAGCCAUAAAAGAUCAGACAAAACCUGAGACCAGAAACUUAUUUUCUUCUGAAAUGCUUUCUCCAAAAGAUGAUUAAAAGGAAAAAGGAGUAAACGUGAAAGGAAAAUAAACCUUGAUGCCUCCAAAUCACUAAGCUACAGGGAAAAAUCAAGCUGGGAACUGCUUAGGGCCAACCAGCCUCCCAGUUCAUUCAACGUCAUCCCUCGGCUCACUAAGAUAAAUGCAUAUCUGAUUGCCUCCUUUGGAGAGGUUAAUCAGAAACUCAAAUGAAUGCAACUAUUUGUCUCUUAUCUGCCUAUAACCUAGAACCCUCUCCCUCCUUCAAGUCUUCCCAUCUUUGCUUCCAGCUGUCCUGCCUUUCCAGACUGAAUCAAUGUUCAUCUUACAUAUGUUAAUGUCUUAUGUCUCCCUAAAAUGUAUAAAACCAGACUGUGCUCUAACCACCUUGGGCACAUGUCAUCAAAACCUUCUGAGGCUGUGUCACAGGUGCAUGUCCUCAACCUUGGCAAAUAAGCUUUCUAAAUUAACUGACACCUGUCUCAUCUUUUCGGUGUUCACACACUCAAUGUUCAAAGUAAAAACUCUUAAAAUAGUUUCAUUUUAGCUAAAGGUCAAGCUGUACUAGAAAACAAGCAUUACUUUUUCACAAAGAUUA
rnacentral:lncRNA from 10 species